AUUGAACGCUGGCGGCAUGCCUUACACAUGCAAGUCGAACGGCAGCACGGGUGCUUGCACCUGGUGGCGAGUGGCGAACGGGUGAGUAAUACAUCGGAACAUGUCCUGUAGUGGGGGAUAGCCCGGCGAAAGCCGGAUUAAUACCGCCUACGAUCUACGGAUGAAAGCGGGGGACCUUCGGGCCUCGCGCUAUCGGGUUGGCCGAUGGCUGAUUAGCUAGUUGGUGGGGUAAAGGCCUACCAAGGCGACGAUCAGUAGCUGGUCUGAGAGGACGACCAGCCACACUGGGACUGAGACACGGCCCAGACUCCUACGGGAGGCAGCAGUGGGGAAUUUUGGACAAUGGGCGAAAGCCUGAUCCAGCAAUGCCGCGUGUGUGAAGAAGGCCUUCGGGUUGUAAAGCACUUUUGUCCGGAAAGAAAUCCUUGGCCCUAAUACGGUCGGGGGAUGACGGUACCGGAAGAAUAAGCACCGGCUAACUACGUG
rnacentral:rRNA from 1 species